rnacentral:lncRNA from 1 species
UGGGCCAGUUAUUGGUCGGCCAUUCCCUUUGUCUCUGCUCCAUCUUUGUCCCUGCAUUUCUUGACAGGACAAACUUCGGGUCAAAGUUUUGUGGAUGGGUUGGUGCCCAUCUACUGGGUCCUGCCAGGCUGAAUUCCACUUAUCAACUUUAUAAUCUUAGAGCAAGUUUAACUAUAGUAUAUUAUUUCUUAUACAUGCUAAACUUUAUAUGGUAUUUUAUAUAAUUUUUGCACUUAAAUUCAUGAGCAACAUUGGUCUAUAGGUCUUUCUUUUUUGCACUGCUAUUGUCUAGCUUUGGUAUCAGGGCAACACCAACUUUAUAAACUAUCCUCUAUUAUACUUCCAAGAAAAUAUGAAGUAGAGCUGGGCUUAAUCAUUUAAAUUUUGAUAGAAUGCUGUUGUGAAACCUCUGAGCCUAGAGAUUCUUCCAUUCAGGUUUAAGUUUUUCUAUUAUGAAUUUUUUAAAAAAUAAUUUGUAUUUCUUUUAUUUCAUGUGCCCCAUUCUUUUUUUCAAUUAAAAGGUACCAUAAAGGAGCAGACUCAAAUAAAGAAAAUCCACGCUCCGGUAUUCCAGCUGGCACCUGAGGCCGGCCGGCUGGAUGCAGCCCUGAGCAUCUGUGUCCCGUUGCCUUAUAGCCUCCUCCCAGCACAGCC